rnacentral:rRNA from 1 species
UACAUGUGGGGCAAGCGUUGUUCGGAAUUACUGGGCAUAAAGGGUGCGUAGGCGGCGCUCUACGUCUGUGGUGAAAGUCUUCGGCCCAACCGGAGAAUAGCCGUGGAUACGGGAGUGCUUGAGUGUGUAAGGGGUAGGGGGAACGAGCAGUGUAGCGGUGAAAUGCGUAGAUAUUGCUCGGAAGGCCAGCGCCGAAGGGGCCCUACUGGUACACAACUGACGCUGAGGCACGAAAGCGUGGGGAGCAAACAGG